GAAUCAAGAAUUUGAAACGGUAUUUGCGCUAGAAGGAAUAUAAAUCUUUCAUCGUGGCCAUAGAUUUAUUCUUUUGAAGACAGCUGCAGAAUUCUUAAUACUAUUUAGUAGUGUUUCUUGGGGAAUUUUAAAUGAGAUGAAUGGUGUUCCAAACGAAUGAAAUUAAUCCAAAUUUUUUAAACAGCAUACCAUCUCAUAUUAAGAAAUAUUACCAUGAUUUGGUUCGAACAGAAUUUGAUUUCAUUAUAUUUUGGCCGUCUACAUGUGAUCCGUUAAAGAUUUUUGUAGCAAGUUUCUAACUGAGAGGCAUAUCAUAUGUAUUAAUUCAACCAAAUGUGUGUUUUCUAUUUUUAAUUCAGUCGAAUGAUACUUUAACAUGAAAAAAAUAAUUAAUAGCGUUUUUAUUGCUUUAUGUUGGCCAUCUAAAAUAUGCCUUUAUAUUUGCACCCGGGCAUUGGAACAGAUAAAGGCUUUCAACAAUGGAAGAAAAUCACACGAUCAAAUAUUUUUUACAGCACCGAAAAUCAUUUAAAUGUGAAGGCAGCAAUACAAUCUAUUGUUGAAAAUGAAGCAAAAGAAUAUUUUGUUAAAGUUGCGAAAUUUCAGGGAAAAUUUCCACCAUUGUAAAAUAGAUUUCAUUAAAAAGACUAUUUUGAAAAUUUGAAA